rnacentral:rRNA from 1 species
UACAGAGGUCUCGAGCGUUAGGCGGAAUCACUGGGCUUAAAGCGUGUGUAGGCGGAUCGUUAAGUGCCUUGUGAAAUCCCACGGCUCAACCGUGGAACUGCUUGGCAUACUGGCGGUCUUGAGCAACCUAGGGGCGAGCGGAACAAAUGGUGGAGCGGUGAAAAUGCGUAGAUAUCAUUUGGAACGCCAAUGGUGAAAACAGCUCGCUGGGGGUUUGCUGACGCUGAGACGACGAAAGCCAGGGGAGCAAAC